rnacentral:rRNA from 1 species
CCUACGGGUGGCAGCAGUCGAGAAUCAUUCACAAUGGGGGAAACCCUGAUGGUGCGACGCCGCGUGGGGGAAUGAAGGUCUUCGGAUUGUAAACCCCUGUCAUGUGGGAGCAAAUUAAAAAGAUAGUACCACAAGAGGAAGAGACGGCUAACUCUGUGCCAGCAGCCGCGGUAAUACAGAGGUCUCAAGCGGUGUUCGGAAUCACGGGGCGUAAAGCGUGCGUAGGCUGUUUCGUAAGUCGUGUGUGAAAGGCGCGGGCUCAACCCGCGGACGGCACAUGAUACUGCGAGACUAGAGUGAUGGAGGGGGAACCGGAAUUCUCGGUGUAGCAGUGAAAUGCGUAGAUAUCGAGAGGAACACUCGUGGCGAAGGCGGGUUCCUGGACAUUAACUGACGCUGAGGCACGAAGGCCAGGGGAGCGAAAGGGAUUAGAUACCCCAGUAGUC